CUCAGAUCUCUGCAGGGUAAAUCCAAACAGCUAGCUAGACUAUCUGUCCAAUCUGAGUUUUUUGUUGACGACUAAAACUACUUCUGAACGUACAAAUGUUCCACCAAAACAACUUCUUUCCGGAGGCUAUUUAGCAGAAUCACCGUGGCUCCAUCCAAAACGAUUGUGAUUUAUUCAAAGAAAUGCCAAUAAACCAGAGCAUGAUUUUCUCCCAUCCCAGAAUGCUAUGUGGACUAACCAGACCCUCCUCCGUAGCGCUGUGGAGGAAGUUCUGGCAAUGCAAGGCUUGCAGAGAACUCAA